rnacentral:lncRNA from 1 species
AUGUUGGCAGAGAUUCUGAAGACAAGUAUGUUGUGCUUUAACUGUUCCCAGGAGACCUCAGCUGAUGUUCUUAGUGGCUUAUAUGGUAUCAUGGUGGAGAAAGGAACAUGUAAGAAAAUGGGAUUCCUACAAUCUUCUUACAUUCCUCUGAUGCCUGCCUGAGUGGGAGAAGACAGACUGAGUCAUCCUAUGCAAGAGUGAGUUGUGCCCCUGGCAGGAACAGUGCCUUUCUCAGAGUUUCAGAUUAUUUUAUGCUUCAGUUUCCUUCUUUCUAAUGAGUAUAAUUAUUUGUCAGUACUAAUGAUUGUGAUUCUCCAGAUGGAAGCCAUUGCAGAAGUAGUACACCAAUACUGUUCUCACAUUUUGACAGAAUUCUGCCCCAGAAGCAGCAAGUGAAGAUGGCAUCUGAACUCAAAUACUUAAGGUAGGCAAAAAUAUCUUCCUUUAGAAGCUUUCCAAAGAACUUAUCAAAAAACUGUCUCCUCUGGCAAGGUAGGGAAUUUAAGUUAUUUCAGCAGCACUGUUUCCCAAGAACUUCAACUACAAUGAUAAAUUAAUAAUGGCAAGGACUGC